CUUGAGAAUAAAUGUUUGCUUCUUUGUUUCCCAGCUGGUUGUUGAUCUGGUUUUGCCACCUGCCUUUGAAGAUAGAAAAAAAAAGGCCCCAGUCCAUCAAACAGUCCUCCUCAACACCUCCUUUACUGUGACGGUUUUUCUUCUCUAGCAAGUGAGUGAGUUUCUGAGAAGAUGUUUUACUUCCUCAAAAAAUGUGAUGCCUGCAGUUUCAAAUAUUAAUAAACUUUUCUAAAGAGACACUGACUGUUAAACUCUCCAUGCUGCAGAUAUGACUGAACAUAUGUAUUUUGAGAUUGCAGAAAAAUCUGCUCUCUCUUGCACAUAAGUAAAACAAUCCAAUGUUAUCACUGUAAAUAAGUAACUCAGAGAUCUUGUCUAGUGGUACAGUGGUUGAGUGGUAUGCUCCCCCUGGUGCAAACAAAUUCCUGUUUAUGGAGGAUAAACAGCAGCCAACAAUUUUAUUUCACAACCUGGAUAGUGUUUCUGAUUCAUGAAGUUUAGCUGAUUGAUUGCUCAUAUAAAGAAGUUUAAUUCUAAGUGGCUUCCAUAUAACCUGCUUAGUAAAAAUAAAUACACACAAAAUAAUGUAUUUAUCUUCUAUGAAAGGAAAUUUGUAACCUGCGACAAAACUGCUUCAGCUCUUCUUCCAUAAUGAAUAAUGAAUUAUUUGUCAGGCUGUGAAAGUGUUUGUUAAAGCAUCAUUGCAUAAGUAAUCAAAUGUCUUAACAUGCAGAUAAGAGUGCAAAGAAUCAGAAAUGAGUGCGUGGCUGAAGAUUACAGCAGGAAAUGUGUGGAAGAAAAAAAGAGCAUUAAGUCUGCUUAUCACUGGAGCAUCACCCUUCCUCCUGCCAUCAAACCAAGACCACACCCUUCCUUCACCGGUCUCUGAGGGGAACAGAAAACCUGCGACAGUUUUCUGCUACCGUACUGUUAGUCAGGGGCAGUUUCAGCUCUGCUGGCACAUGAAGUUUUCAGUUUUCAACCAACAGUGUGACCCAAUACUCACGUUUGAGGAAGUGCCCCACACGUGAACUUGUGAUAUGGGCGAGUGAUACUUGUUGCUGCUGUAUACUUGUCUUGCAUGUGUCAUGUGUAUCGCCUGGUGCGAUCACUCAAUAUUCCUGUUCUUCUUUUAUUUGUGAACUGUGGACCAUCAGAGAGUCCACGACAAAUUUCCCCAUGGGGACAAUUACAGUAUAUAAAAAGAAAGGAAAUGAAAUGAAACUUCUAAACGUACUCGCUAGGUUGACUUGGCAAAUUCAAUAUUCUCAUCGCUGCUGAAUAAAAAGGUAACCUGAUUACUUAUCAGGAAAGUUUCUGUCUGUGUCUUAAGUUUCAGGUUUAGUGACAUUUCAAAAUAGCUCCAUCAGUAGUGCUGGUUAAAAUAAAGUAUCCAUGACAACAAAAGCUUUUGACCUUUUCCUCAAUUAUCUAAAGAAACCGCUGUAACCUUAUACUAUCUAAAUAUCCACUCUGAAGAAUCUUAAAGUGAAUCGAAAGAUAAAGUAAAAUAGGAUGUCAUGGUAAAACUACUCAUCAGCAUAAAAUAAAGCAUGACUUUGACCACAAAUGUUCAGACAAAGCACAGCGAUGUGACCGCUGUCAGACAGCAUUAUUCUGAACAGACCCUCAGUAUUUACCUUAUGUGUCUUCGUCUUCUCUCUAUAUAAUCAGCGUGGAUGAAGAGGAGAGGUCAGUCAGCACCAGCAACCACAUACUCCAGCAGCUUCACACUCCUCUGUAAACAGCAGGCUGACGCAGGAACACUCUUCUCUCCUCAAGCACAACCGUAGCAUACAGGGUCAACAAGAAACCUCC